AUUGAACGCUGGCGGCAGGCCUAACACAUGCAAGUCGAACGGUAACAGAAAGCAGCUUGCUGCUUUGCUGACGAGUGGCGGACGGGUGAGUCAUGUCUGGGAAACUGCCUGAUGGAGGGGGAUAACUACUGGAAACGGUAGCUAAUACCGCAUAACGUCGCAAGACCAAAGAGGGGGACCUUCGGGCCUCUUGCCAUCGGAUGUGCCCAGAUGGGAUUAGCUAGUAGGUGGGGUAAAGGCUCACCUAGGCGACGAUCCCUAGCUGGUCUGAGAGGAUGACCAGCCACACUGGAACUGAGACACGGUCCAGACUCCUACGGGAGGCAGCAGUGGGGAAUAUUGCACAAUGGGCGCAAGCCUGAUGCAGCCAUGCCGCGUGUAUGAAGAAGGCCUUCGGGUUGUAAAGUACUUUCAGCGGGGAGGAAGGGAGUAAAGUUAAUACCUUUGCUCAUUGACGUUACCCGCAGAAGAAGCACCGGCUAACUCCGUG
rnacentral:rRNA from 1 species